UUACUUACCUGGAUGGGGUUAAUGGACGAUCAAGAAGGUUCAUGGCCUAGGUAAGUGACAUCUAUUGCACUUAGGAGGGGUGCUGGCUUAAGGUCUCCCCAAGAGGAAGAGCCUACGUCAUAAUCUGUUGCAGAGAGGCUGUGCAAGUCCGGCCCCUG